CCGGGGUCUGACGCAGGCCCCGUAUCCCACGCGGGGGUCGGUCCUGGUUGGGCAGGGUGACUUGCUAUCGCCGUCCUCGAGUGAGGCGAGGAGGAGGACAGCUCCUUUCCAGCCAGCCCUUGGGUUGGGAGCGAACCCACCCCCUCUCCUCAGCAGGGUGGUUCUCGUCCCCUCACCCGGGCAGUGAAGGGGUGUGUGGCCCGGGCAAGGAUGGCUUUAGGGUGUCAGGUAAUCUUUCAUCGCUCCUCCGAACAUUUCACUCCUUUGCGAGAGAGGAGUCGGGGGUCGGGUGCCCAUCAAAAUUGGGGCUGCGGCUGGGGGCUAGCAUCUCUGAACCUGCAGCUGCAAAGGGAUAAUUUUGGAAUUGGUUUACGUUAAAUAAAACACAAAAGGCCUUUCCUAUCCCCUAGCUUGUUGAGUGUUCCCUUAGAGAAAUGGGAACUGCGGAUCUCCUUGCUUGAGACAGCAAUCCAUGCUGUGACUGUGGAAGGCUUCUCUUGGCGAGAAUUGUGUGUGCAAAGGGAACGGUGGAGGGUGGGAACGAAUUUGUAAGCGAAGAGAAAACGAUUGUGAGAUCUUGAUGGUCGCUGCAGAGUAACUUCAGCGCUGAGUUCGUUUGAAACCUUCGGUUUGUUAAGAUUCAGAAUAACCAAUUGCUUUGUCUGUUAAAUCUCCCGAUUUCUGUUAGGAAAAUAAAAGCCUCAUUUCUUAAUUGCCAGAGUCUGGAUUUUUCUGUGGUGGGAUUCUGAUCGAUCUAGAUGAAGAUUCUGACACAUUACCAGUUUUACUUGCUGGCAGUUGCUGGCCCCGACGUUGAAACUAUGUUGUUCCUUUUUGAGAACAACUUUUAUUGCUGUUUAAAUGCUAAUUGGGAGACUUCGAUUGUGUUUCUGUCAUGUAGGGAAGUCGGUUUGAAGCCUUGUGGUCUCUUUCUUGAGGAAUGAUGGCUUCACUGAACUUGUGCUAUGCAGAAUUGUUGAGGCGAUUGCUUUUGCUUGGACACACCAAAAUAUCUUUUGUAACAAAUUGGCUUUACUUCUGCUUAAGAAUGAUGACAUCAUGGAUUUAAAGAGGCAAG
rnacentral:lncRNA from 1 species